AAGAGCCGGAUGCGGGAAAUCUGCACGUCCGGUUCUGUGAGGGACGUUGAUGUUCUUUUAUAUGGCAGAAUAUUGUGACACUUCUCAAU
rnacentral:ncRNA from 1 species